UGACUCCAUUUUCCUCCACUUUCCUCCACCUCUUUCUCCUUUCCUCCUAUACCAAAAAAUAGCUUAAUCUUUCCUCUUCCUCCUCCUGUCUUCCGCUUGCUCCUCCUCCUCUUGGUUUCCCUGUUAUCUCCACUUUUAUCAAGGUCUGUGUAUUUCUCCGGCAUAAUUAUGGUGGUUUUGUUCAUUUCCUCCUCCAAGUUUGACUCCAUUUUCCUCCACUUUCCUCCACCUCUUCCUCCUUUCCUCCUAUACCAAAAAAUAGCUUAAUCUUUCCUCUUCCUCCUCCUGUCUUCCGCUUCCUCCUCCUCCUCUUGGUUUCUCUCUUAUCUCCACUUUUAUCAAGGUCUGUGUAUUUUUCCGGCAUAAUUUUGGUGGUUUCAUCCAUUUCCUCCUCCAAGUUCAAGUCCAUUUUUCUCCACUUUCCUCCACCUCUCCCUCCUUUCCUCCUAUACCAAAAAAUAGCUUAAUCUUUCCUCUUCCUCCUCCUGUCUUCCUCUUCCUCCUCCUCCUCUUGGUUUCCCUGUUAUCUCCACUUUUAUCAAGGUCUGUGUAUUUCUCCAGCAUAAUUUUGGUGGUUUCGUUCAUUUCCUCCUCCAAGUUUGACUCCACUUUCCUCCACUUUCCUCCACCUCUUCCUCCUUUCCUCCUAUACCAAAAAAUAGCUUAAUCUUCCCUCUUCCUCCUCCUGUCUUCCCCUUCCUCCUCCUCCUCUUGGUUUCCCUGUUAUCUCCACUUUUAUCAAGGUCUGUGUAUUUUUGGAAAGUUUUUAGUUAAGUACAAAUUUCUCCUGAACUAUAAGGUUGUGAGCACUGCCAGUUAUAGGUGUUGUAGGUGAGUGUUAGGAGCAUCUUGUGUUAGAAUCUUGUGUUCCUAACUGUUGUGGAUUCUGAGAUAUUGCCAGUUAGAGUUGACACACACACACACACACACACACACUAACUCUGUGAUGGUUCUUGCAGGGAAGGAGCCGAGAUGAGACCAGACUCAGCCCUCCAGUGAGCCCAGGAGACCACCAGGGGGACACCCACGCACCUCAUGGCUUGGGGGAGGUCACAUGGAGGCUGUGGGGAAGGAGCUGAGAUGAGACCAGACUCAGCCCUCCAGUGAGCCCAGGAGACCACCAGGGGGACACCCACGCACCUCAUGGCUUGGGGGGGGGUCACAUGGAGGCUGUGGGUGAGUGAAGCAACGCACCCCCUGUGUAUGCUCAGGGCCCAGGCUUCGUCAGGUCAGGAGCUGCCUCAAGAACAGGUCAUUUCCCUCACUUAUUCUCUCCAUGUUUCCUCCGUUUUCUCCUCCUUCCUCCACCUCUUCCUCCUUUCCCCAUAUACCAAAAAAUAGCUUAAUCUUUCCUCUUCCUCCUCCUGUCUUCCGCUUCCUCCUCCUCCUCUUGGUUUCCCUGUUAUCUCCACUUUUAUCAAGGUCUGUGUAUUUCUCUGGCAUUAUUUUUGUGGUUUCGUUCAUUUCCUCCUCCAAGUUUGACUCCAUUUUUCUCCACUUUCCUCCACCUCUCCCUCCUUUCCUCAUAUACCAAAAAAUAGCUUAAUCUUUCCUCUUCCUCCUCCUGUCUUCUGCUUCCUCCUCCUCCUCUUGAUUUCCCUGUUAUCUCCACUUUUAUCAAGGUCUGUGUAUUUCUCCAGCUUAAUUUUGGGGGCUUCGUUCAUUUCCUCCUCGAAGUUCAAGUCCAUUUUUCUCCUCUUUCCUCCAUCUCUCCCUCCUUUCCUCAUAUACCAAAAAAUAGCUUAAUCCUUCCUCUUCCUCCUCCUGUCUUCCGCUUCCUCCUCCUCCUCUUGGUUUCCCUGUUAUCUCCACUUUUAUCAAGGUCUGUGUCUUAUUCCAGGGUUGAAAACUUUGCAGAAUGGACAAAAAAAUACCAGAAUUUGCUUGAAUAUUUAUUGACCAAAAUGACACUUCUUGCAGAGAGAGAGAGAGAGAGAGAGAGAGA